ACGGCCCGGCGCCGGGCGCGGUCGGAGACGGGCCGGCGCGGGGCAGAUCCGCGGCGGUGACGACCGGAGGCGACGGGCGAGGCCGGAGAUGGGCCGGCGCUGGGCGGCCGCCUCGAGUGAAGAACCGGUUCGAAGUGGCGCCGGCUUCCGCGAUUGGAAGCGACGCGGGUGACUGGAUGCGGCCGAGCGGCAGCAUGGGGUUUUCCCCUCCAGCUUGCCACGCGCGUGCAUCUCAUCCACCAGCGGCAGUGACACGCACGUCGCCUAUGCCCCUCCUCCUCGGUGUGGUCUCGUCUCUGUUACGCAGGUUAGAUGAUGACAGCAGCAACGCCCCAAAUGGACGCCUGGAGCAGGUCAUGUUCUUUAUUAGGUUUACAGGUUUCCUUAUUUGAUAUGGAUGGCCAUUCAUGUAGUUGUGCGAAUGGCACACACCUCCCUCCCAAUACAACAGCUAUUUAGCUCGCCUGGCGCUGUCUCAUUACGGAAUGCACUUCAUAUUCUCAUAUAUACUCAUUAUCAGUGGAAAUACUGUAAUAGUAUCAGACCGGGUGUGCCUUGAUUCAGGCAACCUUUGCUGGACUCGUGGUUCUGAGUUGCUCGAUGUGUGGUAUUUCUGUCUCCCUUCAUUACCAUCUAUUUUGGGUGGUUAAUUCCUCUUACGUCGAGCUAGAUGAGGUGUCCAUGCCUGCGGCCUCGCCUUCUCCAACUUAGCUGCAGAUUUGGGGAGGCGCCGGGCGCGGCCGAAGAUGGGCCGGCGCGGGGCGGAUCCGCUCCGGCGACGACCAGAGGCGAAGGGGCGCGGCCAGAGACGGGCCAGCCGGAGGUGGAGGAGCAGCGAGGGGCAGCGCUGGGGCGGUGGUGGAGGAGCAGUGACGAGCGCGCCGGCCAUGGCGCCGCUCGCCAGAGCACAUCAGCAUCUCGUCACUCGUCAAUAUUACUUCCCCAUGUGAUGACAUGCCCUCGCUCGCUGAUCUCGAGCUUCAGCCAUCUCAUGGAGGACGCCGUCUGGUAGAUGUCCUGCGCAAGCCCGCUAUGCCGCCUCCAGCGCUAGGAGAUGAGGCGGCUCAGAGGUCCGGCCUCCUCAUAUCCCUCGUCACCAUCCGCGCACUCGUGGCGUCGUACAUCGCCCACCAGAAGGACUGCACGCUCGUCGACUUUGUGCGUGGCGUCAUCCUCGUCAAACACAAUGCCCGCAACCUGCUACUGUCGCCGAGGUUUCUUCUUAUGUUUCUUGGCAGGUCGAGGCUCAGAUUUUUUUUCCUAUGGCUUUGAAUAUCUCAGUCAUCGGGUGUUCAUUUGGGCUUAUUGGCUGUACUCAGUUUGGUUGGUUCCCUUUUGUUUUUGCUGCUGAGAGUGUAUGUUUCAGAGUGGUGUGGACGGGUUGAGCAGCGAUAGAGGUUUUUUUAGUCCUAGGUCAGCACUCAGAUUCUUGAAUUUUCUUUUCAUAAUACUGCAUGAUUUUAAUACUUCAAGGACAUAUGAAUAGUAUGGUUUCUCUCUCUCUCCUAGAUUUGUUACUACCGAGAACGCUUUUGAUUGCAUUGUCAUUUGUUUUAUUGAGCUCUGAAUUAAAAUAAUACUGUAUUAACCUAUCCGUUGCAUAGCAGUAGCCCACCCUUUGUCCAUACCUUGUAUAAAGGUUGGUUCUGUGUUUUUUUUGUGUUCAUGCCAACAUUUUGCACGCCGUAGCACCUUGGACAAAGUAGUUAUUGUCUGGUUACCUUUA